rnacentral:misc_RNA from 1 species
AAGUCGUAACAAGGUUUCCGUAGGUGAACCUGCGGAAGGAUCAUUAAAGAGUCAUUAUGGGCUUACACCCUAAUACUCCACCCUUUGUUUACAUUACCUUUGUUGCUUUGGCAGGCCCGUCCUUGUGACCACUGGCUUCGGCUGGUCCGCGCCUGCCAGAGAACCUAAAACUCUUGUUUAAUCAUAUUGUCUGAGUACUAUAUAAUAGUUAAAACUUUCAACAACGGAUCUCUUGGUUCUG